rnacentral:rRNA from 1 species
GAUGAACGCUGGCGGCGUGCCUAAUACAUGCAAGUCGAGCGAAUGGAUUAAGAGCUUGCUCUUAUGAAGUUAGCGGCGGACGGGUGAGUAACACGUGGGUAACCUGCCCAUAAGACUGGGAUAACUCCGGGAAACCGGGGCUAAUACCGGAUAAUAUUUUGAACUGCAUGGUUCAAAAUUGAAAGCCGGCUUCGGCUGUCACUUAUGGAUGGACCCGCGUCGCAUUAGCUAGUUGGUGAGGUAACGGCUCACCAAGGCAACGAUGCGUAGCCGACCUGAGAGGGUGAUCGGCCACACUGGGACUGAGACACGGCCCAGACUCCUACGGGAGGCAGCAGUAGGGAAUCUUCCGCAAUGGACGAAAGUCUGACGGAGCAACGCCGCGUGAGUGAUGAAGGCUUUCGGGUCGUAAAACUCUGUUGUUAGGGAAGGACAAGUGCUAGUUGAAUAAGCUGGCACCUUGACGGUACCUAACCAGAAAGCCACGGCUAACUACGUGCCAGCCGCCGUCGUAA